AUUCCAGCUCUAAUAGCGUAUAUUAAUGUUGUUGCAGUUAAAAAGCUCGUAGUUGGAUUUUGGAGUUUGACAAGUGGUCUGCCUAAGGUGUGUACUGCUUGUCGGCUCUUCUUUUCUGGGGACCACGCUGCUCUUUAUUGAGGGGUGCUGGGAAUCAGAUCUUUUACUUUGAAAAAAUUAGAGUGUUCAAAGCAGGCCCACGCAUUGAAUACAUUAGCAUGGAAUAAUGGAAUAGGACUUUGGUCUUAUUUUGUUGGUUUCUAAGGCCGAGGUAAUGAUUAAUAGGGAUAGUUGGGGGCGUUUAUAUUCCAUUGUCAGAGGUGAAAUUCUUGGAUUUAUGGAAGAUAAACUACUGCGAAAGCGUUCGCCAAGGAUGUUUUCAUCA
rnacentral:rRNA from 1 species